rnacentral:rRNA from 1 species
AACCCAGUGCAAUUCGUUGCACUAUCGUUAACUGAAUACAUAGGUUAACGAGGCGAACCGGGGGAACUGAAACAUCUAAGUACCCCGAGGAAAAGAAAUCAACCGAGAUUCCCCCAGUAGCGGCGAGCGAACGGGGAGCAGCCCAGAGUCUGAAUCAGCUUGUGUGUUAGUGGAACGGUCUGGAAAGUCCGACGGUACAGGGUGAUAGUCCCGUACACCAAAAUGCACAGGUUGUGAACUCGAAGAGUAGGGCGGGACACGUGGUAUCCUGUCUGAAUAUGGGGGGACCAUCCUCCAAGGCUAAAUACUCCUGACUGACCGAUAGUGAACCAGUACCGUGAGGGAAAGGCGAAAAGAACCCCGGCGAGGGGAGUGAAAAAGAACCUGAAACCGUGUACGUACAAGCAGUGGGAGCACCUUCGGGUGUGACUGCGUACCUUUUGUAUAAUGGGUCAGCGACUUAUAUUCUGUAGCAAGGUUAACCGUAUAGGGGAGCCGCAGGGAAACCGAGUCUUAACUGGGCGUUAAGUUGCAGGGUAUAGACCCGAAACCCGGUGAUCUAGCCAUGGGCAGGUUGAAGGUUGGGUAACACUAACUGGAGGACCGAACCGACUAAUGUUGAAAAAUUAGCGGAUGACUUGUGGCUGGGGGUGAAAGGCCAAUCAAACCGGGAGAUAGCUGGUUCUCCCCGAAAGCUAUUUAGGUAGCGCCUCGUGAAUUCAUCUUCGGGGGUAGAGCACUGUUUCGGCUAGGGGGUCAUCCCGACUUACCAACCCGAUGCAAACUACGAAUACCGAAGAAUGUUAUCACGGGAGACACACGGCGGGUGCUAACGUCCGUCGUGAAGAGGGAAACAACCCAGACCGCCAGCUAAGGUCCCAAAGUCAUGGUUAAGUGGGAAACGAUGUGGGAAGGCACAGACAGCCAGGAUGUUGGCUUAGAAGCAGCCAUCAUUUAAAGAAAGCGUAAUAGCUCACUGGUCGAGUCGGCCUGCGCGGAAGAUGUAACGGGGCUAAACCAUGCACCGAAGCUGCGGCAGCGACACUAUGUGUUGUUGGGUAGGGGAGCGUUCUGUAAGCCUGCGAAGGUGACCUGUGAGGGUUGCUGGAGGUAUCAGAAGUGCGAAUGCUGACAUAAGUAACGAUAAAGCGGGUGAAAAGCCCGCUCGCCGGAAGACCAAGGGUUCCUGUCCAACGUUAAUCGGGGCAGGGUGAGUCGACCCCUAAGGCGAGGCCGAAAGGCGUAGUCGAUGGGAAACAGGUUAAUAUUCCUGUACUUGGUGUUACUGCGAAGGGGGGACGGAGAAGGCUAUGUUAGCCGGGCGACGGUUGUCCCGGUUUAAGCAUGUAGGCUGGUUGUCCAGGCAAAUCCGGAUAAUCAAGGCUGAGGUGUGAUGACGAGGCACUACGGUGCUGAAGUAACAAAUGCCCUGCUUCCAGGAAAAGCCUCUAAGCAUCAGGUAACAUCAAAUCGUACCCCAAACCGACACAGGUGGUCAGGUAGAGAAUACCAAGGCGCUUGAGAGAACUCGGGUGAAGGAACUAGGCAAAAUGGUGCCGUAACUUCGGGAGAAGGCACGCUGGUGUGUAGGUGAAGUCCCUGCGGAUGGAGCUGAGACCAGUCGAAGAUACCAGCUGGCUGCAACUGUUUAUUAAAAACACAGCACUGUGCAAACACGAAAGUGGACGUAUACGGUGUGACGCCUGCCCGGUGCCGGAAGGUUAAUUGAUGGGGUUAUCCGUAAGGAGAAGCUCUUGAUCGAAGCCCCGGUAAACGGCGGCCGUAACUAUAACGGUCCUAAGGUAGCGAAAUUCCUUGUCGGGUAAGUUCCGACCUGCACGAAUGGCGUAAUGAUGGCCAGGCUGUCUCCACCCGAGACUCAGUGAAAUUGAACUCGCUGUGAAGAUGCAGUGUACCCGCGGCAAGACGGAAAGACCCCGUGAACCUUUACUAUAGCUUGACACUGAACAUUGAGCCUUGAUGUGUAGGAUAGGUGGGAGGCUUUGAAGCGUGGACGCCAGUCUGCGUGGAGCCAACCUUGAAAUACCACCCUUUAAUGUUUGAUGUUCUAACGUUGGCCCCUUACCGGGGUUGCGGACAGUGUCUGGUGGGUAGUUUGACUGGGGCGGUCUCCUCCCAAAGCGUAACGGAGGAGCACGAAGGUUAGCUAAUCCUGGUCGGACAUCAGGAGGUUAGUGCAAUGGCAUAAGCUAGCUUGACUGCGAGCGUGACGGCGCGAGCAGGUGCGAAAGCAGGUCAUAGUGAUCCGGUGGUUCUGAAUGGAAGGGCCAUCGCUCAACGGAUAAAAGGUACUCCGGGGAUAACAGGCUGAUACCGCCCAAGAGUUCAUAUCGACGGCGGUGUUUGGCACCUCGAUGUCGGCUCAUCACAUCCUGGGGCUGAAGUAGGUCCCAAGGGUAUGGCUGUUCGCCAUUUAAAGUGGUACGCGAGCUGGGUUUAGAACGUCGUGAGACAGUUCGGUCCCUAUCUGCCGUGGGCGCUGGAGAAUUGAGGGGGGCUGCUCCUAGUACGAGAGGACCGGAGUGGACGCAUCACUGGUGUUCGGGUUGUCAUGCCAAUGGCACUGCCCGGUAGCUAAAUGCGGAAGAGAUAAGUGCUGAAAGCAUCUAAGCACGAAACUUGCCCCGAGAUGAGUUCUCCCUGAGACUU